GACGAACGCUGGCGGCGUGCUUAACACAUGCAAGUCGAACGGUAAGGCCCCUUCGGGGGUACACGAGUGGCGAACGGGUGAGUAACACGUGAGCAACCUGCCCUUGACUCUGGAAUAACAGUUGGAAACAGCUGCUAAUACUGGAUAUUCAUCGUCUCCUUCCUGGGGGGUGGUGGAAAGCUCCGGCGGUCAGGGAUGGGCUCGCGGCCUAUCAGCUUGUUGGUGAGGUAAUGGCUCACCAAGGCUUCGACGGGUAGCCGGCCUGAGAGGGCGACCGGCCACACUGGGACUGAGAUACGGCCCAGACUCCUACGGGAGGCAGCAGUGGGGAAUAUUGCACAAUGGGCGCAAGCCUGGUGCAGCAACGCCGCGUGCGGGAUGACGGCCUUCGGGUUGUAAACCGCUUUCAGUAGGGACGAAGGGUGACUGACGGUACCUACAGAAGAAGGACCGGCUAACUACGUG
rnacentral:rRNA from 1 species